rnacentral:tRNA from 1 species
AGUCCCAUGGUCUAGAGGCAAUGAUUCCAGCCUUUGAAGCUGGAGAUUUCGGUUCGAUUCCGAAUGGGACCA